rnacentral:misc_RNA from 1 species
AUUCAGAUUUUUCUUCUUUUUUUUCGAUAAUAAUAGAAAAGUUUGUAGAAUUAAGAGGACAGAACAUCAAGACAAAGAAGUUCAGAAAUACCAGUAGGAGCAUCUUCAAUCCAGAUCCUUUUGAGUAUCCUCUUGUUGAAUAUAUAUAUAUAUAUACUGUUUAAUUUGAUAGUGACAUUUUUUUAUUGUGAAAAUAUAAAUAAAUAAAUAUUGAGUACUGACUCCAUUUUAUUAGAGUUUCAAUGGGAACAUUAUUUGGAAAAUAAAUAUAAGUGAAAGGUACAUAAGUAAACAUAAACACUCAUUCAUCCUCUCGCUUAUCUAAUGAAUUGUUUUAAAAAAGGUUGAUUUAUGUCAUUACGUAAUCACUAUGAUAUUGACCAUAAUUUUGGUAUAUAAUUACAAAAUUAAAUUCCUCAACCUAACUAUUUUAAAAUAACAUGCAAGUUUGGAAAGCACAACCUUCUCAUUUCUCAGUGUUAUUUGCUUUCUCUAAUCACAUCUAUGUUCUGCAAUCCACGUAUGGCCAGAUCUACAUUUGAGUUUCACCAUCUUCAAUUGUGCUGAGGUUCUUCCAGUUCCAGAAGAUGGCAAAAUCUGUUGUGGCGUUGUCAAUGCAGUUGGGAAGGCUAUAACAUUAUUGAAAUGGCUUUUUUGUUGUCAGUGCAGUUGAAUUGUAGGGGAAUUGCUUCAACAGCUUGAUAAGUCCGUAAGUCCUUGUGUCUCUACCAAAAUAGAGGCAAAGAUCAAGUGGGGUUAAACCAUCCUGGUUUUUUAAUGUCCUGUCUGCUCCUUUAAUUAAUAAUAGCUUUACUAUGUCAGUUCUUUGGGCCUGAACGGCAACAUGUAAUGGUGUCCAUCCAUCAUUGUCCUGAAGGUUUAUAUCCACAUUAUACAAUAGAAGAAGUUUAAUAGCAGGACUAGAUGCCGUUUGGACAGCAUAAUGCAUCAAGGUAGCUCCAUCCUGUUGUCAGUGAGGAAAGAAAGGUAAAAUCAACAUUUCAAAGAAUUUGCAAGUAAACUCUAAGCGAUAUACUCUAAAUAUCAGGACACAAAAGUUCACACCGAAAUUGUUUUCAGGCAUCAACAGCAUUGCUAAAAUGCAGCAGAGGACACCGCAAUGCGACUACUCUCAAUAAGUUAGCCAUAAAUAAAUAAAUAAUAUUAAAGAAAAGAGGUAUUACCUGAACCCAUAGAAUUAUCCACAGUGAAGACAAAAAGGAAAUUGACCAUGUGCCCCAGUUUAAUGACAGACAAACAUUAAAAGAAGAUAACAUAUAGCUAGAUCCACAAGAUGACAAUAACUAAUAAAGCAACAUUUGUUUCAGUUGCGGAUUUGAUAAAAAAGCAUGGUUGAAAACUGAAAAAAAUAAGAGAGAGAACACGUAUCACGUUACCAAAUUUGAAGUUAGUCACCUAGUUUGCAGAUAAGUUGAUAACGAAUCAUAAAAAUAAGUUCAACAUUUUCAGAUCAGAACAUAUUCACUGGUAGUAAAUAGACUUAAAAUUUAGAAAUAAUUAAAAAGCCUGUACUCACUGAAUCUCGAACAAAAGGAUUUGCCGAUUCUCUCAAAAGAUAGCUGGUAAUAGCUUGCUUUUUACAAAUUAUUGCUUUGUGAAGUGCAGUCAAACCAUCCACAUUCACAGCAUUGAUAUCAACAUUAUGUUUCAGCAAAGCAUCCAUAAGGUACAAUUCUCCUGAUGCAGCAAGUGUGUGCAGAGGUAGCCAUUUGGUAGAGGUAGCAGCAGCAAGAUCAGGUAUCUUCUUAUUGAGCAAAACCUUUUCCUCUUUUGUAAACAACUUGCGAGGGGCUCCAGAUUUCUUAGCACCAGGCUCAUAGUUCCCGCUGUUAAAGAACUCUGUAACAUCAUCAAAACCUUUCCCAUAAACAGCCCAUCUCGGAUUCUUUGGUGCCACUCGCUCACUAUUAAUCUCACUCAUUCCCACCUUCUCCUCCUCUUCCUCCUCUUCCUCCUCCUUCUCAGAGAUAUUGGUAGGAUUAUCAAGAACAAGUGGCUUCAAUUGCGCCAACUUAGCCUCUCUGUACGCUUUAUACUCCUCCAAAUUGGCACUCCUUAUAGGAACCAAUCCCUUUUUCUUCUUUUCAACUCGACUAUUGAACUCCAUUUCUUGAGCAAUCUUGCGCCUUUCUUUCUUCGUAAUGUUAAUCUCAGCUUGCACUUCUCUCCAUUUAUCAGGAACCAAGUUCUCUGUCUGGAUAUCCGUUACAUUUUUCUUCUUGUUCUUGGGCUUGAGCUUUCUCCUGGAAUUGUCUGAAUCUGAACCAGAAUCACCAUCACGAAAAGCAUCAAGGUUAGUCUCCAGAUAUGGGUCCUCGAAAACGCCCUCUUCAAAGACGAGGCAGUCGCCAAUGACAUGGUCUUCAGGGUCAUCGUUUUGCAGAGGGAAAGAUGAUUGAAGAGAAGGUGAAAGAGAGAAGAAUUUUCUUGGGUAUUUGAGGGUGGAGAUUGAUGGGAGCUUGAGAGCUGUAGAGAGACAGAGAGGGUACAACAGUUUGGGGGUUUGUGGGUUUAGAAGAGAAGGAAGAGGCAUUCUCACUCAGGUAUGGCUUUACAGGUUUCAA